UUCCGUAGGUGAACCUGCGGAAGGAUCAUUGUCGAAACCUGCUUAGCAGAACGACCCGCGAACAUGUUUAUCUACCGCGGUAGGUGCCUUGUGCUCCUAACGCAAGGCUCUGUGGAGUGUAAUACGCCUCACAGGUGCUUAAAAAACAAACCCCGGCGCGGAAGGCGCCAAGGAAAACUAAUGAAAAAGCGAGAACUCCCUCAUCAUCCCAGUAAUGGUGCAUGCAUGGGGGAUGUUUCUCCUUGCAAAAUCUAAACGACUCUCGGCAACGGAUAUCUUGGCUCUCGCAUCGAUGAAGAACGUAGCGAAAUGCGAUACUUGGUGUGAAUUGCAGAAUCCCGUGAACCAUCGAGUCUUUGAACGCAAGUUGCGCCCAAAGCCUUCGGGCUGAGGGCACGUCUGCCUGGGUGUCACGUAACGUCGCUCCACUUUUCCCAUCAUUUUGGGAUCAUGAAUUUGUUGAGCGGAAACUGGCCUCCCGUGAGCCUAAUCGCGGCUGGCUAAAACAUGAGUCCAAGUCGGCGAGUGCCGUGGCAUUCGGUGGUUGUAAAUCACUAGAUAUUGCUGCUAUUAGGCCAAACCUACAAGGAUCUCUUGGACCCUUUUGUUUAUUCGACGCGACCCCAGGUC
rnacentral:rRNA from 1 species